rnacentral:siRNA from 1 species
UUACGGCGCACACGUGGAAAUCAC